rnacentral:rRNA from 1 species
UACGAAGGGGGCUAGCGUUGCUCGGAAUCACUGGGCGUAAAGGGUGCGUAGGCGGGUCUUUAAGUCAGGGGUGAAAUCCUGGAGCUCAACUCCAGAACUGCCUUUGAUACUGAGGAUCUUGAGUUCGGGAGAGGUGAGUGGAACUGCGAGUGUAGAGGUGAAAUUCGUAGAUAUUCGCAAGAACACCAGUAGCGAAGGCGACACUCUGGGCCGGUACUGACGCUGAGGAGCGAAAGCGUGGGGAGCAAACAGG